rnacentral:rRNA from 1 species
ACGUAGGGUGCAAGCGUUGUUCGGAAUUACUGGGUGUAAAGGGAGCGCAGGCGGACCGGCAAGUUGGAAGUGAAAUCCACGGGCUCAACCCGUGAAUUGCUUUCAAAACUGCUGGCCUUGAGUAGUGCAGAGGUAGGUGGAAUUCCCGGUGUAGCGGUGGAAUGCGUAGAUAUCGGGAGGAACACCAGUGGCGAAGGCGACCUACUGGGCACCAACUGACGCUGAGGCUCGAAAGCAUGGGUAGCAAACAG